UGUUCGUGAAGGACUGUCGUCAAACGCUAGGGUGGUUAUUACUGGACUCGCAUCUACUAUUGGGUGUGUUGGUGUCGUCAUCUUUACUUUGUUUGGUGUUUUAGCUUACUGCAAAAUCAUCAAGGAUCGUGACAUAUACCAAGAAUUAAGGUACAGAAGGAGAACAAUGAUAUUUGGUGAAGAAGCUGGGAACAUUAACAACGACGGAAAUGAGGUCGAACUUUUCGCUUACUUCAAUCGAGGCGACAUGCAACGUUACAAUACUUUGACAACACAAGACGUGGUGCAUAAUAGUGAGGAUGUGUCUGCAUAUCCUUUCCUAGUAGAGAGAAGGCCAUUUCGCUCAACACGAGAGACGGAAUCUGGUUAUGUGGACAUGAGGGACAUUUUUGAGACCUGCCAAAGGGCUAACUGUGAUAAGUCGUUCGAAGACAUGAACACAUCUGCUUCGACGGAUCCCGACUAGUUUGAUUCACGUUGUACCCGGAAAAUUGUUGUCGAAUCUGCGGACAUGGGAUAUCUACAUACUGUUACAGAGAAAAGAUAACUCAAUUGCGACAUACAAUGUGUAUAUGUGAACCAAUAUGCUGGUGCUGGAGAUUAAGAGAUGAACGCCACAUAAUAACACCGACGCCAAUCCACGUUAACCAAACAUUUCAGUUUCAAAUACUUGUAGAACAAUAGACAAUAGCGGCCCACUCUCGAGUCCGUUUCCUGAGAAAAACCAGUACCUGUGUCUUUUCAACAAACUGUCCACGACCUUUUGGGAAAGGAGCGAAAACCAUUCAUUACCGUUACUUAUGAAAGAAUGACAUUCAAAUCAAUAUUUUUCUUCUUUUUAGUCAUUUCCUGUCUUUGUUCUUAGCUCAAUAUCUCUCGUAUUAUAAAAUAACUUAAUGAUAUCUAAAAUACCUUAUUGUCAUUCGUUUUGUGCAGCACCAAUACACUUAUAUCAAAACACGUUUUCUUUUUAUUAAGUUUGGCUAUGAGUAAUGAAGGAUAUUCACUUAAGAUAAGAAAUGACAAAAUAUGUUUUAUGAAUACUGAAAAAGCAGUACAAAUAAACGUAAUGGUAUCCUUGGCUCUUCAUGACAACAUUUUGUACAAAGCUGUCCUUGUUUAACAACCUCAGAGACAAACGAUAAUUUUAAUCACUCAAAGUAUUUGAGUAUUCACGGAAAUGAGCUCAAUACUUAAGAGCUGCAUAUUCGAAAUGACAAAAUUUACGCUAUAACUGAAUUCAAAAAGUUUAUGUAUAAUGUAUUUAUUUGUACAUGCUAAUAUCUGAAGUUGUAUUGUCUGAAAAUGCAUGGACGUAUGAUGAUGUUUUAUUUACCUGUUGUAAAAGAUGUAAAUUAUUAUACGUAGACUUGUAGGUCAAAGGUGCCAGAUGGUAUUUUUAAUACGUAGCACUAUAUUUAAUUCAAUGUUAAAAACAAAUGAACCUACUUACUUACUAACUUAUUAUAUCAUGUGUA